rnacentral:rRNA from 1 species
UACGAAGGGUGCAAGCGUUACUCGGAAUUACUGGGCGUAAAGCGUGCGUAGGUGGUUUGUUAAGUCUGAUGUGAAAGCCCUGGGCUCAACCUGGGAAUUGCAUUGGAUACUGGGCAGGCUAGAGUGCAGAAGGGGCAACUGGAAUUCUCGGUGUAGCGGUGAAAUGCGUAGAGUAUCGAGAGGAACACCUGCGGCGGAAGGCGGGUUGCUGGGCUGACACUGACGCUGAUGCGCGAAAGCCAGGGGAGCGAACGGG